rnacentral:rRNA from 1 species
AACGAACGCUAGCGGCGUGCUUUACACAUGCAAGUCGAACGAGUGGCGGACGGGUGAGUAAUAUAUGGGAAACUGCCCGGUGGAGGGGGAUAACUACUGGAAACAGUGGCUAAUACCGCAUACCAUCGGAUGUGCCCAGAUGGGAUUAGCUAGUUGGUGGGGUAAAGGCUCACCUAGGCGACGAUCCGUAGCUGGUCUGAGAGGAUGACCAGCCACACUGGAACUGAGACACGGUCCAGACUCCUACGGGAGGCAGCAGUGGGGAAUAUUGCACAAUGGGCGCAAGCCUGAUGCAGCCAUGCCGCGUGUAUGAAGAAGGCCUUCGGGUUGUAAAGCACUUUCAGCGGGGAGGCGGUACCCGCAGAAGAAGCACCGGCUAACUCCGUGCCAGCCGCCGCGGUAAUAC